rnacentral:rRNA from 1 species
GAUGAACGCUGGCGGCGAGCCUAAUACAUGCAAGUCGAGCGAACAGACGAGGAGCUUGCUCCUUUGAUGUUAGCGGCGGACGGGUGAGUAACACGUAGGUAACCUACCUAUAAGACUGGGAUAACUUCGGGAAACCGGAGCUAAUACCGGAUAAUAUUUCGAACCGCAUGGUUCGAUAGUGAAAGAUGGCUUUGCUAUCACUUAUAGAUGGACCUGCGCCGUAUUAGCUAGUUGGUAAGGUAACGGCUUACCAAGGCAACGAUACGUAGCCGACCUGAGAGGGUGAUCGGCCACACUGGAACUGAGACACGGUCCAGACUCCUACGGGAGGCAGCAGUAGGGAAUCUUCCGCAAUGGGCGAAAGCCUGACGGAGCAACGCCGCGUGAGUGAUGAAGGUCUUCGGAUCGUAAAACUCUGUUAUUAGGGAAGAACAAACGUGUAAGUAACUGUGCACGUCUUGACGGUACCUAAUCAGAAAGCCACGGCUAACUACGUG